rnacentral:rRNA from 1 species
AUUGAACGCUGGCGGAAUGCUUUACACAUGCAAGUCGAACGGCAGCACGGACUUCGGUCUGGUGGCGAGUGGCGAACGGGUGAGUAAUGUAUCGGAACGUGCCCAGUCGUGGGGGAUAACGAAGUGAAAAUUACGCUAAUACCGCAUACGAUCUAUGGAUGAAAGCGGGGGAUCGCACGACCUCGCGCGAUUGGAGCGGCCGAUAUCAGAUUAGGUAGUUGGUGGGGUAAAGGCCCACCAAGCCAACGAUCUGUAGCUGGGCUGAGAGGACGACCAGCCACACUGGAACUGAGACACGGUCCAGACUCCUACGGGAGGCAGCAGUGGGGAAUUUUGGACAAUGGGCGAAAGCCUGAUCCAGCCAUUCCGCGUGCAGGAUGAAGGCCCUCGGGUUGUAAACUGCCUUUGUACAGAACGAAAAGGUUUCUACUAAUACUAGGAGCUCAUGACGGUACUGUAAGAAUAAGCACCGGCUAACUACGUGCCAGCAGCCGCAGUAA